UGAUCACCAAUUUCAUGCAAAAGCAAAAAGUGAAAACAAAUGGAAAAACAAAUAUUUAACAUGAAUUUAUUGAAUGAAAUAUCAUUGUAUAUAUGACGCCAACAAUGUCAUCACUUCUCCCUUUGGCAUGGGAGAAGGGUUUUUAAACAAAGCAAACAUAUUACGCUGACUUAUGAAUGACCGUAGGAACAUCCACAGCGACCCAAUUGUGGCAGAUCCCGCCAGGGAUGACAAAAUUGUUAGUAUCCAUUUAAACAAAGCAAACAUAUUACGCUGACUUAUGAAUGACCGUAGGAACAUCCACAGCGACCCAAUUGUGGCAGAUCCCGCCAGGGAUGACAAAAUUG
rnacentral:lncRNA from 1 species